rnacentral:tRNA from 1 species
AUUGAUUAAAGCUUUUAGAAGCGUUCCAUUGUUAAUGGGAAAAAGAACUUAGUUCUAAUCAAUA